AUUCUAGGACUUACACACAUCACAUCAUACAGAUGAACAUCAACCAUGACAGACACAUUUACAUGUCAGCGACUCUAUUGCAUGAUCUGAGAUAUGUCCAGUCCAUUCACACUGAGGUUUGUCUUCAGGUGCUAUAGCAGGAUUAUCUGCUUUCCUGGCGGUCAUUGCUGUUUGUGUUAUCGCUGCUGGUGUGAUUUUCUAAUGAGUCAAGAAACUAAUGAAUUUAAGAGGAAUCAGUAAUGUCACGACGCCUCUUUUGAAUGCAAAAGAUGUUUGAUCAGCUGAUGGAUGCUCAACAUCUCCAGCGUGUAACAUGUGUUACAUCAUCAGCUUCUGCAGUAACAACUGCUUUCAUGAUCCGUCCUUUAUAAAUGAGAAAUACUGUAAACUCCCUCGAUGUUGAUGUUGAAGUAUCACGAUUUUUGAUCAACAGUGAAGCUUUCAUUUAUUUGCAGUUUACACCGAUCAAACAUAUCUGUUACUCACCACAGAGCAUAUGAUCAGUUUGAGUCUUGCAUGUUUGAUAUUGUGUGAUUGUUGUCAGUAUUGAUUUAAAGGGGUCAUAUGACACGGCUGAAACGAAUAUUAUGGUUUGUUUUAGAUGUAAUGUGUAUACAGGAUUUAAGGUUAUAAACGCUGUAUUUUCCACACACCGUGCAUGUUUUUUAUCUCUUCUUUGCUCCGCCUCUCUGAAACACGCUGAUUUUUUACAAAGCUCAUGGCUCUGAAAAGUGAGGUGUGCUAUGAUUGGCCAGUUAAUCAGUGCUUAGUGAUUGGUGGAAUACUGCAAGCGUGUGAGGGAAAUGUAACGCCUCUGACCAUAUUUGGAACAUCAGGUUCCUCUUCAGUUGUACUGACAGGUACGCCACCUUACUUGCGUCUACAUUUGGGCGGUCUUAGUCAAAUCAGACCACCAACUGACGUAGAUUUGUGGGGGUGUGGUUACACGAGGUGCAUGACUUCAUUGAAUAAUAUUAUGUUUGUUCAUCAGAUAUUCUGUUCAUCUGUCUACUGAUCAGAUCUGAAUGUAAAAUGUUAGAUGUGAAUUCAGACUGUCAGUACAGAUAUAAAACACUAACUUUAUAAAGCACUUCACUGAUCAACUCGCCGUUUGCACUUGACAAAUAAAGGAGAAAACGCUACACUGAUGUUGGUGCUUAACUUUGUACUGUAGUAGAAUAUGAUACAGUAAAUCUUGUCUAGUUUAUGAAACACUUCUGAUGCACAUUUUUAUUUCCCUUUGGAUAACAAUAUUGAUAAACUUUUGUGGGUUAUUUUUAAGUAAACGCAUGCCUAAACAAGUAAAUACACAAUGUGCUGUAUGUCAUUAUCAUUUCAAUAAAGUACAAAAGCUGAA